GAUGAACGCUGGCGGCGUGCCUAAUACAUGCAAGUCGAGCAAACGGACGAGAAGCUUGCUUCUCUGAUGUUAGCGGCGGACGGGUGAGUAACACGUGGAUAACCUACCUAUAAGACUGGGAUAACUUCGGGAAACCGGAGCUAAUACCGGAUAAUAUUUUGAACCGCAUGGUUCAAAAGUGAAAGACGGUCUUGCUGUCACUUAUAGAUGGAUCCGCGCUGCAUUAGCUAGUUGGUAAGGUAACGGCUUACCAAGGCAACGAUGCAUAGCCGACCUGAGAGGGUGAUCGGCCACACUGGAACUGAGACACGGUCCAGACUCCUACGGGAGGCAGCAGUAGGGAAUCUUCCGCAAUGGGCGAAAGCCUGACGGAGCAACGCCGCGUGAGUGGUGAAGGUCUUCGGAUCGUAAAACUCUGUUAUUAGGGAAGAACAUAUGUGUAAGUAACUGUGCACAUCUUGACGGUACCUAAUCAGAAAGCCACGGCUAACUACGUG
rnacentral:rRNA from 1 species